UACGUAGGGUGCGAGCGUUGUCCGGAAUUAUUGGGCGUAAAGAGCUUGUAGGCGGUUUGUCGCGUCUGCCGUGAAAAUUCGAGGCUCAACCUCGAACUUGCGGUGGGUACGGGCAGACUAGAGUGUGGUAGGGGAGACUGGAAUUCCGGGUGUAGCGGUGGAAUGCGUAGAGAUCCGGAAGAACACCGGUGGCGAAGGCGGUUAGCUGGGCAGUUGCUGACACUGAGGCGCGACAGCGUGGGGAGCAAACAGG
rnacentral:rRNA from 1 species